CCUGUCUUUGUAGCUUAACCAACCAAAGCAUGGCACUGAAGAUGCCAAG
rnacentral:tRNA from 1 species